AAGUCGUAAUAAGGUUUCCGUAGGUGAACCUGCGGAAGGAUCAUUCGCAAUAAAUGGGUUUUUUUAUAAUUCAUAGAAGAAAAAAAAAAUCCUUUACCACCUUGAGUGCAAUGUAUGAGAAAAGGGGCCAUUUGGCUUGUCUGAAAUAAACAUAUCCUUUGAAUAACUUAAUUCAAUAAUACAACUUUCAACAACGGAUCUCUUGGCUCUC
rnacentral:misc_RNA from 1 species